UAAGGUUAAAGCAGGAUAUUUCUGAGCCUAGCCAUCAUUUUGGGUUUUCGCUGUAUCUCCCCAUCCCAUUUUUUCAUCUAAAGGUCUUCCGGCAAAACUAGUGAGGAGGCUCCUGAGCGCGUGACUCAGGAGUGACAAUCGCUAACAGAUGCAUUUGUACCCGGGCAGAACUGGCCUCUAAUUGUUGCUUGUAGGAGAAAAGGCAAAGCGACUGUAGCACCGCCGUUCUCUGUUGCUGGCAGAUAACAACCUCGAGAUGAAGCCACAUUUGCAGGGGAAAAAUUGCUUACGCCCACAGAAUGAAAUUUCAGGCUUUGACAGCUGCUAGGUUGGCCAGAGGUUGACUGAUACAGACCAGGGAGCUCCGCUUUAAGUGGCAGAUCUGGCUGAAAAGUUCUUUGGUGGGUUAAACUCAGGCAUAUUCUAUAAAUAUGCCUUAUUCUAGUGACCAGGCUGAACGCGAAGCUCUCCUUAUGGCGGUCGCAGAGGUGCAAGAGAGGAAGUGGAAGGCCAUGACGCAUCUUAAGGACCAGACUCAGAAGUGGCACAUUGAAAUCUACACCAUUCUACUGGCUUUCCGAAUGAGCAGAGUCUGGCUAGCCAUUCUUCUACCCUUGCAAGCAGAAAGAAGGCUGGACUUCCUGGGGAACGGAAAGUACGCAGACUGCUGAGAUAAACCGCGAUUCACUGCUGCUGAAUGUACCACACGUCAGCCCACCUCCUGCCACUGCAACUCCGCACAGAGAACAGAACAGUCUCGCAGAGAAAGGAACAGUCUCAGGAAGAACCCAUUCAGCACCCGACUAAAAAAUGAUCUCAUAGGGGCGCCUGGGUGGCUCAGUCGGUGAGCAUCUGACUUCGGCUCAGGUCAUGAUCUCACGGUCUGUGAGUUCGAGCCCCGC